CUUGCUAGCUGUGCCGCUCCAUAGUAUAGUAUAGUAUAAUGUAGAUAGAGGUUUAUACCCUUUUGGUGUAUUAUAAACCUUCUGUUGUAUAUAGUGUAUAGUUACAGUCAUAGAUCCUGUUGUGGAUAUGGGUUUGACCAUGGAUGGAAUGGAAACCAGAUUUUUAUACAUAUGAGUUAUAUGCCUGAGAUAAUGUAUUGAUAUAUAUUGUCGAGGUUCAUUAUGGGACGGAUUAUGUGAUUGCUGCUCUGACAGGUAGUGUGUUGUAUGUAUUGAGAUAAUCCUGACAGGUCACUAUAGGAAAAGUGAUCAUUUUGUGCAUGCAUCAUGCCAAAUUUUUCAAGAUUUAUUG
rnacentral:lncRNA from 1 species